AAAAAUUGUCAAGAUGUCAAUUUCUUCCGAGUCGGAACCCUCGUCGAGUUGCAUAAACACUGGCGUAGCAUCUUGAAAUCUGAAUUUCCAAUGCCAUCUCUAAUGAGCGCUCAUUGGAGAUUUUUGCUCAAAAAUGAAGCGCUCAUUAGAGAGAAUACGUACACUAUCACACCGUUAUUGUGAGACGAACACGAAAACGAAAAAUGAAUAAAGAAUCUUGGUGCAUGGUAGAAGUUAAUGAAAAGCAAACAAUUGCACAUUCUCAGAAGAAGCAUUUUCAGGACUCCUCAGAAAGCAAUGUCUUUCGAGAUGCAGAGCCGUUGCAUCACAAAAUUCGCUUGGUAAAUUUCAAUGUAGCUAACAGAAUCAAGGAGAAAAGACAUUUCAAUGAAACAUAUGUUUCAGCAUGGAAGCCGUAAUCUGAGGUGAUGUUGAAGAAAAGAGGAACCUUGUCAACUCAUCGAACAGCAUUCUUUGAAAAAGUAAAAAUAAACAUUUCAUAAUCGUCUAGGAAUGAUGAUUUCUAAAACGUGUUAGAUAAUUAAACUAAUAAAGUUGCUUUUUUCUUGUUCAUUUUGUCACUAUUCUGAUAACGUCAAAAAUAGCAAGGUAAUGUCUUUGGUUGGCCUACAAUCCCAGGUAAAAGUAACUGAGACAUUUCAAAAAAGCUUAUGUUUUCGCUUCUCUUCGGAAAAUAGAUAUUGCAUGUUUUCGAAUCACAAAUAAUAGAGCUACUAAUCCAACAGUGAUCUG